CUUGCCUUUGGCCGGCGAGACGACCGGGCAGCAGCCACCCGCGGCGGUUGCGCCGCCGGCCCGUCGACUCGACCGAACCGCCCACGCACAAACCGCCGCCGCGACGCCGCCAUGGCGGGCUGGAUCUCCUCCAAGCUCAAAGCCGCCGAGACCCUCCUCCACCAAAUCGACCAGCAGGCGGCGGAAUCCCUCGGCAAGUCCCCGUCGGCCUCCGACCUCACCGCGCUGUCUGCACCCUCUCCCUCCUCCGCCGCGGAGGUCGCUGACUUCCUCGACGUCCCCGCGCGUCGGCAGCCGCCGGUCGCCCCGCCUCCCUCCCUCGGCCUCCGCCUUGCCGCGAGGCGCCCCACCCCUCUUCUGCCUCCGGCUCCGGCUCCUUCUCCCCCCGCACCCCGCCGCUCGGCCUCCGCGACGGCGGUUCUCGCGGCUCAGGAUCGUGCGGCGGGUGGGGCUGCGGGCGUGCGCGAGGCUGAGGCGGGGGGAGAUCGGAAGGAACUGGAGGAGGGCGAGAAGGGCGGCGGGUCUGAGAGCGAGAGCGGGAGCGAUGAGGAUGAUUCGGAUGGGUCGGGCAGCGACGAUUCGGAGGACUCGGAGGAGGAGAGGCGGAGGGAGGAGGAGAGGAGGCGGCGGCGGGCCGAGCGGCUCGCGGCGAUGGCAGCGCGAGCGAUCGCGGAGAGGGAGGAAGCAGUGGCGAAGCUCGAGGGGGAGAAGGCUAGCCUUGAGAAGCUGCUAGCUGAGCGCGAGAAGGAGCAGGCACAGGAGGCUUCAGAGUUGCAGACAAGUAUGAUGGAAACCAUGGAGGCUGUGGAGAUGGAGAAACAGAGACACCACAGCACUAGAAUGGAAGCCCUUGCACGGUUGGCUAAGCUUGAGGUUACAAAUGCAGAGCUUGCGAAGUCACUUGCAAGGGAACAGUGGAAUCUGGAUCUUCAAGUUGAUGAGGUGUCACAACUUCGAGAGGAAGUAGAUUUGAAGACUCUUACUCAAGAUAAAUAUAAGAGAAAGAUAGCAAAGAUGCAGAAGACUAGUCCCUCCUUGGUUGAUGAAAUAGAAUCCUUGAGAAGGUUCAAGCUGGAGGAAGAAAUGAUUGAUGCAGAGUAUGCUCUAACAUGUGAUAGAAUUGUCAACUUGAAGGACAAGGCAAGGAAGAUGGAAGAAAAUAUUGAACUGACAAAAAGAAGAAUGGUGCAUCCUACCGAAGUGGAAAUUGAACUCAAGAAGAGGCUUGAUCAACUCACGGAUCGUUUAAUUCAGAAACAAAUGCAGGUUGAGUCCCUCUCUUCAGAGAAAGCAGCCUUGUUACUGAGAAUAGAGGCAGUUUCCAGAUCACUUGACAAUAACGGAUCGUCAUUGGCUUCUUCGAGCUCAUCAUCUAGGAUUGAUAUCGAAGCUAAUACAUGGCAAGAAUCACACUCGCCAAGGUUGCGGGACAGGAUACGGAAUGGACAGCAGCAACUGGGAUCGGCAAUCCGGCAGCUUGAUUCCAUCUUCUCAGCUGGCCAUAUCUUCUUGAGGCGGAAUCCGAAGGCGCUAGUUUGGGCCUUGGUGUACCUGUUGUGCCUCCACAUAUGGGUCCUGUACAUACUAACAUCACAUCCGACAAUAUCAGAAGCUCGCCCUGGUGCUACUUUUUCGUUGGAGUCAUUAAACAAGACUGGUAAUUAACCCCGUCUCUUUCUUCGCCUUUUCCUCUUUUUUCCCACCUGAUAGGUGUUUCAGCCAUACUUCAAUCUGUUCUGUGUAAACGAGGGAUUACUUCUUUCUAUAGAAACGGCAUAGCUGGUUUGUACAUACUGCAGAUUGGUAAGAUGAUUUUGGAUGGUUGAGUGAGCCAAUCUGUUGUAGCAUCAAAUCAGUUCGAAGGGGUCCGAAUCCCCAGCUCAAAACCAUAGAUCACACCAAUUCCCUUCAUUUGUCUACUUAUUAUUGUGCAACCUGCUGUUCUUCCCUGAUAUGUAAUACUACUAUGUUCCUGCUUCCGAAUUGGAGCAGCCGGUUCAUCACAAAAACAAAAGUACCGGUAUGGUUUAUGUAUAAAAUAUUCCUUUUUUUAAUCCAUUCAAGCAAAGCUAUCUCUUUAGACACAAAAGCAAAAUGGUGACAUCAAUUUUGCAGGAAGAAUGCCUGAAUAAACGACUUGCAGACGGACACGGUGCCUACAUAUCUAUCAGGUACCAACCUCUAGGCUCAAGCUACACGGUUCCAUUGAUAAGGAUAGGGAAUACUGCAGCCUCAGUGGAAUGGAACAGCAAGCGUCAGGAAAAAAACAAGAGAAAUGUGGCGACAUAGCACAGCCACGGAUGCAAAGAGAAACCGUAGCCAGGAGCUGCAAAAGGCGGCGAGCCGGGUGAGCUAUCUUCAACAUUGGCGUCUCUCCGGUUCUCUACCCCCUUUCUUCACCUCCAAAAGCGACGUCGACAUGGCACAUCGACAUGCCGCAGAUGAGAUGGUUGGGCACCCUCCCUCUCCCUCUCCCUCUCCUUCUCCAGGAGAGAAGACCAAAUCGUGUACCAGCUGCUGAUCCGGUGCGCUGCACUCUCCCUGCGCUGCGCACACGGUACAGUACACCUGCUCGAUUCCUAUGGACCACCCACUGCUUCCCCACCGCUCACUUUGAGCACGAUUCUGCUUGCUUCAACUUCAUUUCAGCUCAGUUGGUUAGGUUUGGUGCCCUAGAACUUAUCCAUAAGUGCUCGCCAUUAUGGGUGCUCGUAUUUAUAUUUAUAUGUAAUUUUUUUUUGCCAGGAUGGCCAGAAAGGGCUACCCAAUUCUAUAUGUAAUUAUUCCUUCGAUGGUAGAAAUAUAUAUAUCUCUCGAAAUGAGACGUCUACAAUAACUUUAUCAAUAUCG